rnacentral:rRNA from 1 species
CCAGACGAGCACAGGAGCUGUAGAGAGGGAGAGCUCAGAGCCUGGGAGGCGUCCCGCGUCGUGGCGGGUAGGGCGGCGGCGCGGGCCUAGAGGGCUAGCGGCCUGCCUUGGUCAGGAGGCGGCCGUCUAAGUAGGUAGGCUUGGAGAAGGGGCGACCUCGGGCAUGUGGGCUCUGGGGCGGCGGUCGGUCUUCGUCGCUGGGGUAGCGGUAACUGCGGGCUCGGUAACUGCGGACAAACGGGAGCGGAGACAUGUCCAACGACUUAACCCGACCAGGGUCGACCGGGUUCGACCGCGACCCACCUCGCUCUUCGUCUUAAAUGUCUCAACCUCCUCAGCCCUCUCCAAGGCUUGUCCGGGAUUUGAGAGUGUUUGGGAAGGUAAGGUCAUUACCGACCGCCGCCGCGCCACGGGGGCGGUGGCGCCGUCGAGCUUCAAGCCGCGAAGCGCAGACUGGCGCAGCCUCUCGAUGCUAGGGACGUGCGCCGGCAGAGUCGAGCGCAGCUGCCGGCGAAGGUCGUCGGGGCGAGGCGUGCGGCGGCGUGGUGCCCCGUGGAGGGGAGGUUCGCGCCGGCGCGUUCGUCUCCACGGCGCCGCCCGGUCCGAGGACUCCUCCCAUUGGGGAGCCGCGCAGUCAGCUCCUCCCACUCCGCGGCCGUUCUCGAUCGACCGUUGGGACGCCUCCCCAAGAGUAAGCGACCGCUGCCGCGCGCCGCCGACGCGUGAGUGGAUACCGUACGGUUCUCCAAGUGGUACCGUUCUGCCACCCCAAAGCAGAACGGGUAAACGAGGGUCCCCUCGCCCUCCCCAAGUGCCCGUCAAGAGUUCGCCAACUUUUGACCUUGUUAACAAGUACUACGAUCGAUGAAGUAAGGCUAAGUUGAUCUGCCAGGUCUCCUGAGGGAUAAUAGGUAAGACCCUUACCAAUAAACAGGUAGAGGACGUCUAUUUUGUGGACUGAAUUUCGUGGAUGUUCUAUUUCAAUACGUUCCACAAACGUAACUCUUGCGAUGCGAAGCCGCACGACCCACGGGGGUGAGAGUACAACAACCUGGUCACUGUAUGUACACCGCCGGUAAGAGUUAUCCCUCAUCGUUUAACCUCCGGUUUCUUCGUCUAAACAGGUUAAGACUUUGAUCUAAAUCAGUUCCUUCGACGUCAAGUAGUGUUGCGGUUAAUACCUAUACCUAAGUAGGACGAUACGACCUACUUCCCGACCUACGUUAUUCUUAACGUACACUGUUUGUCUACGUUCUAAGACCACAAGACCAGUUGACAACAAGUGAUCUCCCCUUUUAACGUUCUAACCUUCAGUACCCUACGUUCCGAUACGUUAGAGAAUUCUCAUAUAACGUGGGUCAAUCAUUCUAUGAACUAUGUUCACUAUACAGAUUUGGUUGACUAGUAAGACACAUAAGGAGAUGACCGGGAGUACAAAACCUUCGUAGACAGUAGCUAGUACGACUCUAAGAAGUCGGACCACGAUAUGACAGGUACUAUCAAGUACUGGGGUCCCUCCAAAGUAGAGUCCCCUGUCUAAGAGGAAGCCUUUGUCAAUGCUUGGUCCUCUUGUUUGAGAACCUCCCCCCUCUGGACCUCCGUGGUAGGCUCCUCUCUGUGUAUAAGAGUAGUUACGUUUACGUGAGACCUUCCGUACUAAACGAGGAAAGACUGACAUCUCUUUACACCCUAAGACCGACAUUCUAUUAAGGGGGUCACCGUCUCCUCUAGGAAACAUACCUUUUUGUGGUGUCUGCAUAUUUAAAAAAGACGGACCUAAGACUUUUACUGGUUCCUGUUCGUUGAGUUCGCUUACCAACGAAGUCAGCUAGGACGGGACAAUAAGAAGACUUUGUACGAUUUCUUUCCACCAGGUAAUAGCACGGAAACUCGACCCAUUUCGGAAAAACCGAGAAAGAUCAUAGAGUACCACGUGUGCGCUAACCGAAUUCUCUCUCUGCCACCUAACGUAGUGUCAAUUUCUAUGGUACGAAGGGAAUACUAAUGGGUCUGUCGUUUCGUAUAAGUAGUAAAUACUGUUUUCUCCGACGACAAAAACUAUUUCGUCGACUCAUGGCGGGACGACGGUUCUCUGGAGGUUCUCAAGGACAUGGAGGAAGUACCGUAGUAUAGUACCGAUCAAAUUUAUUUCUUCUACCGUGCCACUCUACAGAACUUCAUCUACUGAAUUUCGGAAGACUAUGCCACAAUGGACUCACAAAGAGUAAUUUAAGGUUGACACCUCUAAGACCUAGUAGUGGCUGUUGACAGCAACGAAGUAAGGUUGAGAAACACGGUUCUUGGUAAGUUUGCAACUCUGUAAUACACUUUCUUGAACUAUACUACAGAAACUCAAGAAGUAGACUCUACCUUUAGCUAUAACUACUCGGGUUUAACCGAAGACCACCGUGACAAUUCUGCGGUAGAGGACAUUUACCUAAUAUGGAACAUUCCCAGGACUAAGCUCACAAGUUCCUUCCAAAGAAACUUCUACCGCGACAUCAAACACGUGGUAAAAAUAGUCUAGAAUGUCGAACCUUUUGGUCUAGUCUCCUCCUACUCCUUGUUACAGAUCUUUUUACCUUUCAGGUCGAGGGCGUCAGGGUAUAGUCAAGAAUAAAAGGUACAGACCCAGGGUUUCUACUGUGGUGUGCCUUUCGUAACUCUACCGGCUAUCCGAAACAGUGCUGACCAAAGCAUGUACCUUCGUGACCCUUCCUACCACGACGCCAACGCAAGACACUACGUUCCGAAGACCGCCGCAACGCUGUUCUCGUUACCUUACUUUUCUCAUACGACCCAGUUCUCUAGACACAAGAACAGUCCUUGCGCUCUAGUCGCCGCAUAUCUGCCCGUAAACGGUGUCAACAAGACCUCGUCGUCUUCCUUCUAGAUCUCAAAGACAUCAGUCGUUAUAGGGUAGAAGGUAACGCUACUUGAACGACGUUGGUACCGAUAUAUCGUACCAUUAAAACGAUCUACGUACUUUCGUUAAAAAACGUUGUACAGACUCAACAGUCUAAAAAAGAACUCCCCACAAAACUAAAAAAAAAUCCCAAACUCCACACAGAACAAACUAUUGUUCAUUAGACUAAACGCAGAUCACCAUUGUGUAACAAGCCGGGGAGGCAAACAAUACCAGCUGUCGAGCGCAGACCCGGGUGUACAAUAACUCUUUUGACGCAGAGAGUUUUUUUCUUUUUCUUUUAACGUACG